rnacentral:rRNA from 1 species
UACGUAGGGUGCAGGCGUUAAUCGGAAUUACUGGGCGUAAAGCGUGCGCAGGCGGUCUUUUAAGUCAGAUGUGAAAUCCCCGGGCUUAACCUGGGAACUGCGUUUGAAACUGGAAGGCUAGAGUGUGGCAGAGGGGGGGUGGAAUUCCGACGUGUAGCAGUGAAAUGCGUAGAUAUGUGGAGGAACACCGAUGGCGAAGGCAGCCCCCUGGGCUAACACUGACGCUCAUGCACGAAAGCGUGGGGAGCAAACAGG